UACGUAGGGUGCAAGCGUUGUCCGGAAUUAUUGGGCGUAAAGAGCUCGUAGGCGGUCUGUCACGUCGGCUGUGAAAACCCGAGGCUCAACCUCGGGCCUGCAGUCGAUACGGGCAAACUAGAGUACUGCAGGGGAGACUGGAAUUCCUGGUGUAGCGGUGAAAUGCGCAGAUAUCAGGAGGAACACCGGUGGCGAAGGCGGGUCUCUGGGCCGAUAUCGACGCUGAGGAGCGAAAGCGUGGGGAGCGAACAGG
rnacentral:rRNA from 1 species